rnacentral:rRNA from 1 species
CAUGCUACGGUGAAUACGUUCCCGGGUCUUGUACACACCGCCCGUCACACCACGAGAGUUUGUAACACCCGAAGCCGGUGGAGUAACCUUUUAGGAGCUAGCCGUCGAAGGUGGGACAAAUGAUUGGGGUGAAGUCGUAACAAGGUAGCCGUAUCGGAAGGUGCGGCUGGAUCACCUCCUUU